rnacentral:rRNA from 1 species
UACGGGGGGAGCAAGCGUUGUUCGGAUUUACUGGGCGUAAAGGGCGCGUAGGCGGUCGUGACAAGUCACUUGUGAAAUCUCCGGGCUUAACUCGGAACGGUCAAGUGAUACUGUCGUGCUAGAGUACAGAAGGGGCAACUGGAAUUCCUGGUGUAGCGGUGAAAUGCGCAGAUAUCAGGAGGAACACCGGUGGCGAAGGCGGGUCUCUGGGCCGAUACUGACGCUGAGGAGCGAAAGCGUGGGGAGCGAACAGG